AUAACAAUACAGGACUCUUUAGAGGCCCUGUAAUUGUAAAGAGUCCACUUGAAAUCCUUUAACUCUGAUCAAUUGCAGGGUAAGUCUGGUGCAGAACGACUGACCUGUGCGUGCUGCAGCUGAAA